CCCUUAGACGUUCUGGGCCGCACGCGCGCUACACUGACCAGUGCAACAAGCAUCCGUCCUUGGCCGACAGGCUCGGGCAAUCUUUGAACGCUGGUCGUGAUGGGGAUAGACUUUUGCAAUUUUUGGUCUUCAACGAGGAAUUCCUAGUAAACGCAAGUCAUCAACUUGCAUUGAUUACGUCCCUGCCCUUUGUACACACCGCCCGUCGCACCUACCGAUUGAAUGGUCCGGUGAAGCCUCCGGAUUGGCGCGCACCUCGGUGCCGCCGAGAAGUUGGCUAAACCUUACCAUUUAGAGGAAGGUGAAGUCGUAUCA
rnacentral:rRNA from 1 species